rnacentral:lncRNA from 1 species
CCCUCUCUCUCUAUGCGCAAAGCCGGCGGCCACAAAGGCCUCCCUCUCUGCUCCCUCUCUCUCUCUCUACACAACAACAAAGACAGCGACAAGGAGGAGACAAGCCGGAUCCGGUGGAGGGCAACCGAAUUUGAUGGAGGCCAGCAAGAUCCGGUGAAGGACAGUGCCAGCGUCGCCGAUGGGGCAAGUAUAGUCUUCCCAUCUCUCAUAACUCGUGAAAUGCCGAGUAGGCACGAAUUCCCCCAAUUUGCAAUCUUCGUAUCUUUGUCUCCGUCCCUCACUCUUCACUCUGCCCUUUUGCAGAUCUGGUGCUAGCUGGAGCCGCACAAAUGAACGCAGUGGCGGGCAGAACCCUAGGAACCAGCACGAACGAGGACGACUGUGGCGGCAAGCAGGAGGACGGUGGUGCACAAGCGACCUUCAGGAUGUCGACAGGAGCUGGCACGGACCGUGGAAAGGAUGGCCUACACGACGGCAGCUCCAGGAGAUAGAGCUAGGUGGCUCCAGGAUCUGGAUUUUUUUUAUUUUUUUGGUUAACUGAGGCGAGCCUAGUAUAGUGACUGCCUUCGUAAAGGCCUAUUAACAGAGGCGGUUACCUUAUGGCGCCUGUCUCUGUUAAGGUUUUAAUGGAGGCGGGCAUGGGCAACCGUCUCCAUUAAGUCAUGAUUAACCGUGACCUAUCGUUGGAGACGGUUGCCUCAGCUCGCCUCCAUUAAAAAAACUAUAGUAGUGAUAAUGUGAUAUGAUGGGGACAAAAAGAGACCAUACCUUUGGAUCAAAAAGAGACCAGCAGGGACUAAUAUCAAUGCAAGGCUUGCUAGAAUUGGAAGGCAUCGAGAUAACCCAUGUGACAAGAACAUUCCAAUUUAACACAUUGUAGUGUUCCCACAUCCAAAAGUAUCACACACUAAUCAAUGUAUACAAUACUGAGAGAGUGACACUGAAUCACUCUCCGUCGAAUAGUCCGACAAAUUAGGCCCGAGAAAAGGUAGUAGUUGAAUGCCUAAAAAGGCCAGGUUGUCCUAGAGUUGCUGGUUGGGCAAGUUUGAAGGAUGUCUAUUUACCUGGAGGCAGGUGCAUGAUAAUGCUAACUAGAGAAAAGAAAAUCAAUGAGAGAUGACAAGCGAGAUAAACAUUUUGAGAUGAUGGAGAUCACAAGGAUGACCAUAAGUUGGUGAAGACAGAAAAGGCCCACAGUUGGUGAAGUUAGGAGCUGACUGGUGCUGGAUGUUUGGUUGGGGUUGUUAAAGUUUAACAGCUGUAGCAUUUUCGUUUUAUUUGACAAUUAGUGUCCAAUCAUAGACUAAUUAGGCUCAAGAGAUUCAUCUCGCAAAUUACUCUCUACCUGUGUUUUUAGUUUUGUAAAUAGUUUGUAUUGAGUACUUCAUACAUGUGUCC